UACGGGGGGAGCAAGCGUUGUUCGGAUUUACUGGGCGUAAAGGGCGCGUAGGCGGCCACCGCAAGUCGACUGUGAAAUCUCCGGGCUUAACCCGGAAAGGUCAAUCGAUACUGCAGGGCUAGAGUGCAGAAGGGGCAACUGGAAUUCUCGGUGUAGCGGUGAAAUGCGUAGAUAUCGAGAGGAACACCUGCGGCGAAGGCGGGUUGCUGGGCUGACACUGACGCUGAACUGCGAAAGCUAGGGGAGCGAACGGG
rnacentral:rRNA from 1 species